AUUGAACGCUGGCGGCAGGCCUAACACAUGCAAGUCGAACGAGUGGCGGAAGGGUGAGUAAUGUCUGGGAAACUGACUGAUGGAGGGGGAUCACUAAUGGAAACGGUAGCUAAUACCGCAUACCAUCAGAUGUGCCCAGAUGGGAUUAGCUUGUUGUUGGGGUAACGGCUCACCAAGGCGACGAUCCCUAGCGGGUCUGAGAGGAUGACCAGCCAAACUGGAACUGUGACACGGUCCAGACUCCUAGUGGAGGCAGCAGUGGGGAAUAUUGCACAAUGGGCGCAAGCCUGAUGCAGCCAUGCCGCGUGUAUGAAGAAGGCCUUCGGGUUUUAAAGUACUUUCAGCGGGGAGGCGUUACCCGCAGAAGAAGCACCGGCUAACUCCGUGCCAGCCGCCGCGGUAAUUC
rnacentral:rRNA from 1 species